rnacentral:tRNA from 8 species
GCGCCCUUAGCUCAGGUGGACAGAGCGUCGGACUACGAAUCCGAAGGCCAGAGGUUCGAAUCCUCUAGGGCGCACCA